rnacentral:rRNA from 1 species
UACGGAGGGUCCAAGCGUUAAUCGGAAUUACUGGGCGUAAAGCGCGCGUAGGUGGUUUGUUAAGUUGAAUGUGAAAGCCCCGGGCUCAACCUGGGAACUGCAUCCAAAACUGGCAAGCUAGAGUAUGGCAGAGGGUGGUGGAAUUUCCUGUGUAGUGGUGAAAUGCGUAGAUAUAGGAAGGAACACCAGUGGUGAAGGCGACCACCUGGGCUAAUACUGACACUGAGGUGCGAAAGCGUGGGGAGCAAACAGGAUUAGAUACCCGGGUAGU